rnacentral:lncRNA from 1 species
CCAGCCUCAGGCUCUGUCCUCAGGAGGGGGGUCUGCUCUCAGGAUUCUAUAGCAAACCCUCUUUCUCAGCCCCGCCAAGCCCUGUGGUGACAACAGGAGGGAACGUGACCCUCCAGUGUGGCUCACAACUGGGAUUUGACAGGAGCUGCUGAUGCCAUCAACCCAUCAUGAAACAAGCCAGGUCCCAAGAGCGGUGACUAGGAGAAAUUCUCAGUUAUGGGGCUGGUGCAGACGGUAAUGUCUUGUCAAGGGGAGGCGCAGUGUCCUGAGGGGAUAUCCAGGGAUCCUGGUGUGAUUUUGACCUGCCCUGACCUCUGUGAACACUUAGACUGCAAUUCUUAGAGUCACACCCCCAAGACUAUACGGUGGAGAAUCUCAUCUGGAUAGGCAUGGCUAUCUUGAUCCUGGUGCUCCUUGGGGUCCUGCUUAUUCAAGCUCGACACACCCAGAGAACGACCCAAGAUGCAGCCAGGAGGUAAACACAAGAGGGAACACUGCACCAUUCAGAGUGGUGGAGAAUUAGAACAAGUCUGAUGAUCCCAGGAGGUUGAAAGUAAAUCUGGACCAUAAGUUUGGGGAUCUGUCUGCUGAAAAUGUUGAGGGAUGUAAACCUGGUUUAGAUUCAGGAAAAUGUCUCGAGUGCUCCCUGUACAGGAUGCUCCCUCCAUUAAAUUUGUAUUUUCUCUCCCUACCAUCGUUGGCUUUCGUUGACUGGCUCUCCCUUUUUCUCACCCCUAUCACAUGAGGGUACAUCCUUCGUGGCUGGUUUGGGUCCACAUGUAAAACCUCAUGUUCUUA